UACGAAGGGGGCUAGCGUUGCUCGGAAUCAUUGGGCGUAAAGAGCGUGUAGGCGGCUAUUUAAGUCCUGCGUGAAAUCCUGCGGCUCAACCGCAGACGGUCGUGGGAAACUGGAUGGCUAGAGUGCGGGAGAGGAGAGUGGAAUUCCCGGUGUAGCGGUGAAAUGCGCAGAUAUCGGGAAGAACACCCGUGGCGAAGGCGGCUCUCUGGAACGCAACUGACGCUGAGACGCGAAAGCGUGGGGAGCAAACAGG
rnacentral:rRNA from 1 species